rnacentral:rRNA from 1 species
AUUGAACGCUGGCGGCAUGCCUUACACAUGCAAGUCGAACGGCAGCACGGGUGCUUGCACCUGGUGGCGAGUGGCGAACGGGUGAGUAAUACAUCGGAACGUACCUUAUCGUGGGGGAUAACGCAGCGAAAGCUGUGCUAAUACCGCAUACGCACUGAGGGGGAAAGCGGGGGAUCGCACGACCUCGCGCGAUUAGAGCGGCCGAUGCCUGAUUAGCUUGUUGGUGGGGUAAAAGCCCACCAAGGCGACGAUCAGUAGCUGGUCUGAGAGGAGGAUCAGCCACACUGGGACUGAGACACGGCCCAGACUCCUACGGGAGGCAGCAGUGGGGAAUUUUGGACAAUGGGGGCAACCCUGAUCCAGCAAUGCCGCGUGAGUGAAGAAGGCCUUCGGGUUGUAAAGCUCUUUUGUCAGGGAAGAAACACCGGCUCUAACACAGUCUGGGAAUGACGGUACCUGAAGAAUAAGCACCGGCUAACUACGUGCCAGCAGCCGCAGUAA